rnacentral:rRNA from 1 species
UACGUAGGGUGCAAGCGUUGUCCGGAAUUAUUGGGCGUAAAGAGCUCGUAGGCGGUUUGUCGCGUCGGCUGUGAAAGCCCGGAGCUCAACUCCGGGUCUGCAGUCGAUACGGGCAGACUUGAGUGUUGCAGGGGAGACUGGAAUUCCUGGUGUAGCGGUGAAAUGCGCAGAUAUCAGGAGGAACACCAGCGGCGAAGGCGGUGCUCUGGGCCGGAACUGACGCUGAGGAGCGAAAGCGUGGGGAGCGAACAGG